ACUUCCCUCAGACCUCUGCUGAAAUACAAGAUACUUAUCAAGAUAAGGCAAGAUACUAAGAUAUAAGUUACUAAGAUGUAAGAUAAGGUGCCCAGGAAGUCCUGGAACUGAGUCCUGGGGCAAGGUUCUGGAAGUUGGGACAAGAAGAUUCCUAGAAAAGAGGAAAACAAUCACUCUAGAACUGUUAUAAGCAUGCUAACCAGGACUUCAGAGAAAGGAAAAAAAAAGGCUGAACCUCGCUGGUGAUUCAGAUGGAUCAUGAGGAUCUUUCAACAAAGCUAAGUUCCCGUCUUUUAACGCAGUUAUUCUCAUACUUUUAUACUGAAAUAUCCAGAAUAGCAAAUGAGUUAAAUAUGUUUUCUGUGGGGUUCUGUACAAAGAAGAUUUAGAGCUUUAUGAACCUAAAAUAACAUAUCACAAGGAGAAAAUUUACUUGAAGUGGGAGACUUGGCUUAAAAGCAUCUAAUAUAAAUUGUAUAUUAUAUUCAAUAAUACAAAAGCAAUGCUUUAUUUAGAAUGAAUUAAAAUGCAUGCUUCAGACAAAAUGCAUGAUGUUUAGCUUUUGAUUUACUGAAUAUACUAUUCAACAGAUGUUUGAGUUACAUAGUUUGAGGAGCACAGGCCUUUGGUAUUGAUGGCUCCUGUUAAAAUAAAAACAUGUUUUCUGAGAGCAUAAUCAUAUGAAACCAGGAGCACAUAUUAACAUAAAACUCAAAUCACUUCCCCUGACUUUCUUCUUUCAAAUGUAAAGAAAGUGGGAAACAGGACAGAUGAAUUUGAAGAAACAGAAGAGCUCAGGAAAGUUCAAAGCAUGAAGCAAACUCAAAAGUAUAUCUAAAUACCUAGGGAGCACCUUCAAAGCACAAGGUACCUGAAGAUGAAACGGCAGAAGUGAAAAGAAUUGCUCGUGUAGUACAGGGCUAAAAUUGUACCUGAAGCAUCUCUGCUGCUAUCCCAGGAGAAGAAGAGUCGACAGUAGCUAUGGUAAACAUGCAUGGAAGCAUCAGGGAAAACAGAAAUUUAGAGAAGCAGAUAGAGUGAGCCCAAGGCAAGAUAAGGGUUUCUGGGUCUGAAUUUCAGAAAAGCCUGACUAUGGAGAGUGGGAGUUCCUGUUUUCUUUCAGUGACUUGCUAAUUUCAAUUUUGUGUGUGUGUGGCAUUAACAGAUUUUUGCCUAACUUGGGACAUUUUUAACAGUAGAGGAACUCUUCUGUCAGUUCUGAUAUGGUAAUUUUAAAACACAUAUUCUUUAACUGAACAUUCAUUAAAUCACUUGGCCAGGAAUCCAAAUAACAAAAUGUCUGUCAUGGAAUUCUGUGUGUAAUAGGAGUUAUGUAACUUGUUUCUUCUUAGUAGAGAGAAUAAAAAGUAAAGUCAAAACCACCCCCAGAUGACCAUUUUUAGCACUUUCAUUUUAUCGGGAGAGGUGAGCAACAUGCAGAAAAUAUAUAUUCUUGAAUUAAUCUCCUUUGGGUACAGAGAGAAAAGAGCUCAUUAUUCUUCUAACUGGCAACGUUUGAUUUUAUUGACACCCUAACAGUAUGUCAAUUGCUCAGUAUAUCUCCCUAGGCUGUAGUCUUGCAGACUUUCUUUUUUCUUUUUUUUUUUAACUUACCAAUUCUAUGAUGUAUUCCCAUGGAUGUCUCUUUUUAUGCUAUUUUACAAUCUAUUUCUAGAAUAAUCAUGGAAAUUUCAAUGGAAACAACAUAUCACAUUCUCUGUCUACUACAUAAGUAUGUCUUUUUUAUUUGUAAAUAGAUCAUAUUUUGCACAUAAUUAGGUAAUACCCACAUAUCUCAAUUUGGCUUAGGAAUUAUAUUGAAAGAUAGAAUUGCAUAAGGGUAGGGAUUUUACUUUUAAAUUAUUUUCAUGUCUCCAUGGAUUGGCUCUGUGCUUUACACCCAGUAGCUGUGAAACAAGUACUUAUUUAAUGAUGAAUGAAUAAAUAAAUAAAUAGUUAAAUGCAGCAACAAAAAUGUUGGUAGAUAUAUAGGAUUGUAGAAUCUAAUUGCUUAGUAGGAUCAUCAAGUUCUACCCAAAUUUGGUGUGGCAAACAGAACAAUGGUCCCUUAAGGAUGGCCUAGUCCUAACCUCCCAAACCUGGAAUAUGUUACCUUAUGUAACAAAGAGACUUUGCAGAUGUAAUUAAGUUAAUGAUCUUAAGACAGAAAUAUUAUUCUAAGUGAACUCAAUGAAAUUACAAUGAACAAUGUUCCUUAAAAGAGGAAGGCAAAAGUUCAGAAUGAAACACACAGACACACAUAAAGUGGCUACGAAAGCAGAAGUAGUGAGAGAUUUGAAGAUGCUACCUUACUAGAUUCAAAGACAGAGGAAGGGGUUAAAAUCUGAGGAAAUCAGGCAAGGCAGCCUUUCGAAGCUGCAGAAGAUGAGGAAAUGAAUUCUCCCUAGAACUUCCAGAUAGAAACAGCCCUACUGAUGCCUUGACAUUAGCUCAGUGAAACGUAUUUUCAGACUCUAACUUCCAGAUCUGUAGGAGAUAAAUUUGUGUUGUUUAAGCUACUACAUUUGUGGCAGUUUGUCAAAGUAGCAAAAGGAAACGUAUAUUUGGUAGGCAUCAGAAUUUCCUGAGCAAUAUAGUGUGAUUACCUUUGAAAAUUCUACUCAGCAGUCCUGGAAUUGCAGCCUGAAAUUUGAAAUUUACUAAGUGCUCCCACUAUAUCUGAGUCAGGAAUUACCUAGGAAACCAUGAUAUAUUGCAUUACACUAAUUUUGUACUUGAGAAAAAGCACAAUGUUAAAAUCUCAAGAACAUUAAUAUAGACUUAAGUACAAUUUAUCAUGUAAAAACAUAUUUGAAAAAGUAAGCCUGAAAAAAAGAAACAACUGAACUAUUAACACUAUAUUCUCUAACUAUAUAUUGAUUUUCUCCUUUUGCUUUUACACAGCGAACCACAUAUACUUUCACAGAGGGUGAUUUGGAUAAUAUGUUCCAUGCAUUGCUCCAAGCAGAAAUUCUCAAUCUAUCAUUUCUGCUUGUAUUAUUUUACACCUCUUAAAGACAUUCACAUUCCAUCACAGGGAGCCAAAAUCAGCCUGUUAUAUCUCUGUUUGCGAAUACCGCAAUACUUACUUUACUUUCUCCUGAAUAGAUUGUUAGUGGUUUUUAUUAUCUCCUGUAAAGAGUGUGAGAAAUGCAUGUUGCAAGGACACUUUUGUUUUAUUCACAUUAUUCUACUGAAUCAUGCUAACCAUAGCAUUACAUCUAUUUAUCUAUCUAGCUAUUAAACAUAUUCAGAAUACCUAACAACUUUAGGGGCAUUCAGUAUAUAGAAUAUGCUAGUAUUUGUUAUUUUCUAAAAAUUAAUAAUUAAGAAUGUCAUUCUAUUAUUGCAUUAGUGACUUAGUUAAAAUUUAGACCAUUAACAAAAAAGAGAUGAAAAAAAAAACAAAAAACAUUAGGCACUAAAGGAGUCCUCAGCAAUGGCUUUUUCAAAAUGAUAAUUUGGCAUCAUAAAGCGGGUAUUUGGUAACCAUACUCUAUUACAGAACAGCAAAUGGAAUUUAUGUUCUAUUUUCCCAUAUCCACUUCUUUACUAUAAUUUAGCAAUCAUUGUAAUUCUUACUAUAUAGUUAUUUCAAAUUUGAUAUGAUUCUUAAAGAUGCUCUGAUAGUAACAUUUUCUUUAGUGCCUCAUGUCACUCUCUCUCUCUUUCUUUAAAAAAUAAGUUGUCUUUACAGGAACAAAUUUCACUAUAGAUGCCUGACUUUCUCCUUUCAAAAUGAUUAUUGAAACUCAUUGAGAUCUGGCACUCUGUGUUUCUUAUUUUUAUUCCGUACGUAGGAAAAAAAGAACUCAGAGACACACAUGGUUUUAAGAGGCUGUGACUGUCAACUCUGCCCCUUCCUAUUGAAUAUUGAAGCCUUUAUGUUAUUGAAUACAUUGAAUAUAUUGCAAAUUGGAACCCCAUUAAUAGGAUUCUAAGAAGCCUUACUACUAGAUCUGGAUUCUAAGCCUCCUUGCUUGUAUGAUAGGUUAUUGUCUGAGACAUUAAGCAACUAGACCUAUGUUGGGACACUUGCUUCACAAGGUAAUGCGAUGUAUUAAUAAUGAGGAAAGAAAAAUUGCCCUGCUUGUGCUAGUGAGGAUCUUGAGCACUCUCUAUUUUCUCUUCACUCCUGCUUUAGUGGUUGCAGAAAAGAUUUUUUUUCUGUCAGAUGUACAUGCAGUAGCAAAAAAUUGAAGCAUCUUUCCUCACUAAUGAGCUGCAAAAUUUAACAGUUUGGGGGAGUCUCCAUGGAAACUUUUUAAUAUGGUGACCUAUGAGUGCUAAAUGUGUAUGAGGUGACAAUUCCUUCUACAUGGAAGACUGUCACAGAUAGCAUAUGGUAGGACUUUAUGAAAGCCACUAAAAUUAUUUCUGCCUCAGUUUCCAUCACUAUAAAGGCAUAAUCAUAUAAUCUCCAGUCAUAAGGAUUACUGAGAUAAUCUUUAAAUUUGCAUUAAAUUCCUUGGAGAUAGGCAUUAUAUAAAUAGGAAGCUCCAUAUUAAAUGAACAAAAUUUCAAUAAAGAGUGGCUACACUUAAUGGAUACAAUGUGGUCUGAAAUUUAAGUAAUUGACCAGAAAUCAGGACUUGGGACCAAUUACUGGACAUCCAAUUUGUGUCAUUUGAGAGAAAUUGCAUAGAACAUUCUUUCCUCAUUUUCAACAUUUACUUAUUACAUGAAGUAGAUAAUUUAACACUAAAUAAGGCUAUAGUUACAUUUUCUCCAUGUGUCACUGCAGGCUGCAAAAAAAAGUAUUAUAUUAAAUUAAUAGUCAGAAUCUUUCCCCAAAUGAUGAUAAUUGGAUCUCUGAUUGAAAGGACACCAAAGAAAUGGCUAGAGAAAAUAUAGCUCUGUCCUCAGUAUAUAGUAUUUUUAAUAAUAAUCUAUAUUUUUAAAGUAUUACAUCAUGUUCACUCCAAGAAGGGAGAAAAGAGCUCAAAACAUAUCUGGUGGCACAUCUGUAGUCCCAGCUACUUGGGAGAUUGAGGCAGGAGGAUCACUUUAGCCCAGGAAUUUAAGGCUGCUGUAAGCUAUGAUUGCACCUGUGAAUAGCUACUGUACUACAGCCUGGGCAAUAUAGGAGGAUACUGUCUCUUAAAAAAACAAAACAAAAUAUCUGACAUUUAGCUUAUAAAUCUCAUGUAUUAAUGGUUCAUAUUUCUGUUAUUCAUGCUGACAUAAUUAUUGUGAAGUCUUUUUGCAUGUGAUAAGAAUCUAUAUUCUUAUUCAAUAUCUAUUAAAUAUAUGGUACUCUGCUAGAGUAUUCUGAUGGACUCAGGGUAGAAAAAUGACUAAAACAACAGCUAUCUGAAUUUCUCUAUCUUAAUCAGUAUGCAUAGUGUUAACCUUAUAUAAGAAUGUCCCUAUAGUUAAUCAUUUGUGGUUUCAUUAAGCAGUAUUGAAGCUUUUAGAAGAAAUCACACAUACUGUGAUUUAAGGAAGCCUGGCAGUUACAACAGAAAAAAGAAGCUGAUUCAUGUAGAAUGUCUUGAAAUUUUGUCACUGGUAAUUUUGGCAAGAACAUUAUUAAUGUUAAGAUUUGUUUAUAACCAAUGAGAACACAUGGACACAGGGAGGGGAACAUCACACACCAGGGCCUGUCGGGGUUGGAGGACCAGGGGAGGGAUAGCAUUAGGAGAAAUACCUAAUGUAGAUGAUGAGUUGAUGGGUGCAGCAAACCACCAUGGCACGUGUAUAGGCAUACACUGUAACAAACCUGGAUGUUCUGCACAUGUAUCCCAAAACUUAAAGAAUAAUUUUAAAAAGUUUUUUUUAAAGAUUUGUUUAUAAAAUGGCAAAUUGCUUAAUCAGGGGAAUCCUCAUUGAGUUGAGAAGUAUGAGCUGUGAAGUAUGUUUUGCUGGAAAUAAACUUGUAAGCCGCUACAUAUAUAUUCUCCAAACAGAAAUAAACGCAAACAUCAUUUACCUGGAGGACAGGUUGAGAAUGAGUUAUAGCCUAACAUGACAUACAUAAGAAACUAAAAAAAAAAAAAAAAAAAAAAAAAAAAAAACAGAAUGAGGAUGAUACAUGAUCCCAAAAUAGAAGUAAGCAUUUUUUGGACAGAAAAGAUUCUGAAAAACUUGUGUCCCAAUGGUUCAUCCUUGAAUUGUAUCAUUGCAACUACCCCUCCCUCAUACAUAUACCAUGUCCUCUUCAUGAUUCUGAGAAAUUUUGAAGACCAGAUUCAAGGGGGUUCACAAAUGCCACUAAGACCUUCAUGUUACUAAGAAUGAUUAGUAUAUCAGCCUGGAGAAGCACUUGCUACAGGUUAGGCAAAUUAGGGUCCCCUUAUAGAAGAUGAUUAAAGUAGACAGAAGGAAUAAAAUUAACGUAUUAUUCAAUAAAUCUUCCUUAUGUCUCAUCUGGCUAAAUAAAAGUCCUGGGAAUAUAUUUAUAACUAACCAUUAUGCAAGUUCUUUCAACCCAAAAUAUUUUCUCCCUAUAUUAACUCUAUGUACUCCCCUACACACACACAUAUAUCUCCUAAACUUUUUAAACUAUUCUAAGUUAUGUGCUAGGAAUUGUACUAGGCAUUUUACAAAUAUAAAUUCACGCUAUUUGUACAUUUAGAAAAGUAAGAUACAAGAUUAUUUUUAAUCAAUAUUGACAAAAUUUAUCUUCUUUUUAAACAUAUUGACUAAAUAGUUCAGAGUUCAAAGAUGAAUUAUGAUAAAGAGUGUUUAGCAAAAUGUUUACACAUAAAAUACUUUGAACUCACUAGCAAUGAAGCAAAUAUUAUAGCCCGAAGACUCUCAGGAAAUUUAAUCCAGAAUGGAGGAUACUAAGUGAUGUAUGGAACUGCUUAUUCUACUUAAACAUCAAAACUCCACAUGAAUCUUCGAAGUGUAUCUCUGCGCCUUAAAUGAAAACACAGUUUUGACAUUGUUUAUUGCCUCUUGAGAGGAAACUCUGCUCAAUUCAUAAGUGAAUCAUGAAUUACCCAAUUUUUUCUUCCAUGGGCUUCUCUCAGGGUGCCCCUUGGUUUAACUUCAUUAUGUACAAACAUGGUAUUACCUUCCAUAACACAAUAUUUCAUAUACAGAGUGAUAUAUCAUUUAGAUGACUCUUUAGACCAUCGUUUUGAAAGCUACAGUUUUCUGAGCUAACAAUUAUAUUAUAGCUAUAUAGAAAUAAUAAAACCUUUUUUUUUUCUUUUUUUGAGAUGGAGUCUCACUAUGUCGCCCAGGCUGGAGGGCAGUGGCGCGAUCUCAGCUCACUGCAACCUCCGCCUCUCAGGUUCAAGCGAUUCUCCUGCCUCAGCCUCCCGAGUAGCUGGGUCUGCAGGUGCGUGCCACCAUGCCCAGCUAAUUUUUUGUAUUUUUAGUAGAGACGGGAUUUCACUCUGUUAGCCAGGCUGGUCUCCAUCUCCUGACCUCGUGAUCCGCCCACCUCGUCCUCCCAAAGUGCUAGUAUUACAGGUGUGAGCCACUGCGCCAGGCCAGUAAAAUCUUUCUUAAUUAAACAGCCCUAUAUUGUGCAACUAUAAUAGAAUAUGUGAUAACUAAAUUCAAAGGGUGAGAGAAUCAUAAAAGUUAUCGUACAUGCCUAAACUUAUGUACCAAAAUGUGCUAUGUACAUGCAUACAACUAAGUGUACUAGGCUUUCAUCAGAAGUCCCUUUUAGUUAUCUGCAGCUGCUUUAUUCCUUUUUGUAGAUCCCUUAUAAUUAUAAAAAUAUUUUUAUAUACAUUCGAAAUAUCUUAUGAUUAUAUAUAGUUACACAUAUUUGAUAUAUAUUUAUAUAUGUAUUACAGCGAUGUAUUUCUGAUCAGUGUUUUCUAACAACCACAAAUAUGUGGAAUAUAACUUAUACAAAAAACAUUUUGGAUGACAUAACAACUCAGAAGUAAUAAUUUUCCACACCAAUGACCUGUCUCUACUUCUAAUAUAAAGAAGGCAUCAAGAAGUAUGCU
rnacentral:lncRNA from 10 species